rnacentral:rRNA from 1 species
UGGUCAAGUUAUUAAGGGUGCAGGGCGGAUGCCUUGGCACUAGGAGCCGAUGAAGGACGUGAUAAGCUGCGAUAAGCUUCGGGGAGUUGCACGUAAACUUUGAUCCGAAGAUUUCCGAAUGAGGAAACUCACUUAGAGUAAUGUCUAAGUAUCAUUAAGUGAAUACAUAGCUUAAUGAGGGGAACUCAGGGAACUGAAACAUCUAAGUACCUGAAGGAAGAGAAAGAAAUUCGAUUCCGUAAGUAGCGGCGAGCGAACGCGGAUUAGCCCAAACCAAUAAAGUUUUCUUUAUUGGGGUUGCGGACAUAUCAUAACGAAGAGAUAUCGUAAUUGAAGAGGUUUGGAAAGACCCACCACAGAAGGUAAUAGUCCUGUAUGUUAAACGAGAAGACUUUAGAUAUGAUCCAAAGUACCACGGGACACGUGAAACCCUGUGGGAAGCAGGAGGGACCACCCUCCAAGGCUAAAUACUACCUAGUGACCGAUAGCGUAUAGUACCGUGAGGGAAAGGUGAAAAGAACCCCGGGAGGGGAGUGAAAUAGAACCUGAAACCCUGCACUUACAAGCUGUGGAAGCACAUUUCUUGUGUGACCGCGUACUUUUUGUAGAACGGGCCAACGAGUUACGUUAAGUAGCAAGGUUAAGCACUUAAGGUG